rnacentral:rRNA from 1 species
AACGUAGGGGGCGAGCGUUAUCCGGAUUUAUUGGGCGUAAAGCGCACGUAGGUGGCAUUGCAAGUUAGGCGUGAAAGCUCCUGGCUUAACUGGGAGAGGUCGUCUAAUACUGCAAUGCUUGAGGUUGGAAGAGGAGAGUGGAAUUCCCGGUGUAGUGGUGGAAUGCGUAGAUAUCGGGAGGAACACCAGUGGCGAAGGCGACUCUCUGGUCCACACCUGACGUUGAGGUGCGAAAGCGUGGGGAGCGAACGGG